GGAAGAGGAAGUGAACACAUAGCUACAGAGCCGUACUCUAGCACCUCCAGACCUGAGCCACUGUAGGCAUAUAGCUUCAUUUCCUGAAUCAAAGCAAUUCCUUGCAAUUGAAAAUGGUUGUCUUCCAUGAUUGUCUUAUUUGUGAGUCCAAAGAUGGCUGAUGAGGCCUAUCUAGGAUCAACAGACUCUACUACAGCUCAGACGUGUGUUUCUAUGUCAGCUAAAGAUGACAGCAAUUUUAGCAAAGUAAAAUUCCGGAGUUGCUGCGUGAAAGAUACAGAACUGACAUCUACAGGGGAUGAAAAGAAGAGGGGUGAGCCACAAGAAGGCAUAAGUUAAGAGCUCAUCCACAAUAUAAAAAUGCCCAAGAAGCAUUAUAUUAAACAGCAAUUAACAAAUGCUUCAUAAGGAAUUUUUUUUUUCCAACUAGGUAAGGAACAUCUGACUUUUUAGGGCUGGAAACAGAAGGUUGAAAUUUAGCAACUGUUUGAAAAUACAAAUAAUGUUUAUUUUAAUACAUUAUUUCCAUAGAUGUAAAUCAUGAUUUAAAAUACUGAACAUUUCAUUGAUCACUGGAAAUCUAAAGUUGUUAACUUGGUAAUACUCUUUUUAUCAAGUAUUAUUACUGCUAACAGCCACUGACUCCCAAAAAGAUUCUUCCAACUGCAGCCUUUCAUUGGGCAACACAAAACCUGUCCACCUGUCCUACUUACAAAUGAAUUAUAGAACUCUGGCUUUGUUUCUAUAAAUUUAAAGAAAUGGAGGGACGAGGGAGCAACAGCCUGGUCUUAUUUGACUGGAUAUCACUACAUAUUUCUGAAUUUAUAUUAAGAGUUGCACAGUGUCUACAUGUCAAGCCUACCAAAUCUGCUUGAUCAGGGCAAAUUAUGCACAUAUAAUGGAAUAUGCUACUAUCACCAGGCAGUAAAGCAGAGCUCUCAUCAAGCCAAGUUAUUUCACAUUGUCUCCUCCAAUACACUGCUGAAAUGCUGCCAGAAUUGAAGAAGUGCUGUCUAAUCCAUAAAUCAGACAGCCUAUAGGGGUUGUAGUACUCCUGGCUGAUAGCCUGCAAUUAUAAAAUGGUAGUUUAAAGCCUGAUUACUGUCUCUUUGU